CCCUUAGAUGUUCUGGGCUGCACGCGCGCUACACUAAAGCUAUCAACACGUUUUCCCUCCCUGAGAAGGGCGGGUAACCUUUUGAAUCAGCUUCGUGGUAGGGAUCGGGGCUUGCAAUUGUUCCCCGUGAACCAGGAAUUCCUAGUAGACGCGAGUCAUAAGCUCGCAUCGAUUAAGUCCCUGCCCUUUGUACACACCGCCCGUCGCUACUACCGAUUGAACGUUUUAGUGAGGCAUUUGGACCGACGCAUCUCAGUUUAACCGCUGGUUUGUGUUGGAAAGACUUCCAAACUUGAGCGUUUAGAGGAAGUAAAAGUCGUAACA
rnacentral:rRNA from 1 species